rnacentral:rRNA from 1 species
UGCCUAACAGCUAGCUACUGCAUCAUAACUUCAAACCGACAAUUUUUUUACCCCCUAAUAUACUUUUUUCCUCCCCUAAAUCAUUCUCCCCCCUAAGUAAAGGCGAUAGAAAAGGACAAACGUAAGCUAUAGAACAAGUACCGCAAGGGAACGCUGAAAGAGAAGUGAAACAACUCAGUAAAGCACAAAGAAGCAGAGACUAAUUCUCGUACCUUUUGCAUCAUGAUUUAGCAAGUCUAAUCAAGCAAAAAGUUUUUUAGUUUGAAUCCCCGAAACUAAACGAGCUACUCCAAGACAGCCUAAUAAGAGGGCAACCCCGUCUCUGUGGCAAAAGAGUGGGAAGAGCUUUGAGUAGAGGUGACAGACCUACCGAGUUUAGUAAUAGCUGGUUGCCUGAGAAAUAAAUAGAAGUUUAGCCUCUAAAUUUCUUAUCCCAACUAAGGUCCCCCUAAAUAAGAUCUAGAGAAAGCUAGAGAGUUAGUCAAAGGAGGUACAGCUCCUUUGAAUAAAGAAACAACUUUCACAGGUGGUUAAUGAUCCCAGUAAGUUAAGGCAUAUGCCCCAGUGGGCCUAAAAGCAGCCAUCCCUAAAAAAAGCGUUAAAGCUCAAGCAUAAAACCGCCUCAUAUACCGAUAACCUAUUAAAUACCCCUAAAAUUACCAGGCCAUUUUAUUCUUAAAUAAAAGAGAUCAUGCUAAUAUGAGUAAUAAGAGACACGCUUCUCUCCCCGCACACGUGUAAAUCGAAACGGACCAACCCCCGAAAAUUAACGGUCCCAGCCCUAGAGGGCAAUAGAGUAUAAAUUAAACAACAAGAAAAACCUCUAAAUUUUUACCGUUACCCCAACACCGGCGUGCUUCCAGGAAAGACUAAAAAGAGAAGAAGGAACUCGGCAAACUCAACCUACAAGCCUCGCCUGUUUACCAAAAACAUCGCCUCUUGAAUACUUUUUAUAAGAGGUCCCGCCUGCCCUGUGACCUAGGUUUAACGGCCGCGGUAUCUUGACCGUGCAAAGGUAGCGCAAUCACUUGUCUUUUAAAUGGAGACCUGUAUGAAUGGCAAAACGAGGGCUUAACUGUCUCCUUCCCUUGGUCAAUGAAAUUGAUCUUCCCGUGCAGAAGCGGGAAUCCUUACAUAAGACGAGAAGACCCUAUGGAGCUUUAGACAAAAGUACAGACCCUGUUAAGAACUCAACAUUUAAGAAGAAAAACCAAUUGGACCCUGUAUUAAUGUUUUUGGUUGGGGCGACCACGGGGAAAAAAUCACCCCCCACGUGGAGCGAGGGCACACUAAAUACCCUUAAACCUCAGAGCUACAGCUCUAAUUAUCAGAAUAUCUGGCCUUACAGAUCCGGCAAAGCCGAUUAACGAACCGAGUUACCCUAGGGAUAACAGCGCAAUCCUCUUUUAGAGCCCAUAUCGACAAGAGGGUUUACGACCUCGAUGUUGGAUCAGGACCUCCUAAUGGUGCAGCCGCUAUUUAGGGUUCGUUUGUUCAACGAUUAAAGUCCUACGUGAUCUGAGUUCAGACCGGAGUAAUCCAGGUCAGUUUCUAUCUAUGAAGUACUCCCUCCUAGUACGAAAGGACCGGAGCGAGGAGGCCAAUGCACUAUGUACGCCUCCUUCUUACUUGAUGAUAACUACUAAAACAAGCAAAAGAACACGCUCCUUAAAGUCUAAGACUAAGACAU